UUUUUUUUUUUUUUUUUUUUGUUUUUUUUUUUUUUUUUUUUUGAAGAAGAGUGGAGAAGAGUUCUGUCAAUUUUUGAGCAGAACAGAA
rnacentral:ribozyme from 1 species